UGACUUAAUCGAUAAUAACAAUCCAGAUUGGGUUCCUUCAAUAAAUAUGGGCUAUAAACACAAUGAAAUAAGUUCCCCAAAAUCUAAAAUGGAGUGGUAUCAAAGGAGAAUUAAAAGAA
rnacentral:lncRNA from 1 species